rnacentral:pre_miRNA from 1 species
AUCUUCAUCACCUGGGAUCUUGUUAAAAUGCAGAUUUUGACUCAGGAAGUCUGAGGUAUGGUCUAAGAGUAUACAUUUCUCACAAGCUCCCAGUGAUGCUGAU